GGUCGGGGCGCGGGUCGGGGCGCGGGGCGACCCUCCCUUCUGGCCCGGCCGCCGCGCCUGCUCGCAUCCUCCUGGCUCUCCUUCCUUUGGUCCCUGCGUCUGGGCCAGGCCCCGCGCCCUCCCCCGGGGUUAGGUGAGGAUUCCGUGAUAGGCGCCCGCAGCAGGCCGCCGCCAGCAGGGGCCACUUCUGGUUCUUCCCUGCGUGGAGGGUGAGUCUGCAGAGCUAAGAUGUCACAUCCUUCCCGGUCACCGCUAAAACCUCAUCAUCCCGCUGCUGACCAGGGGACCGGGUCAGAGCAGUGUAGACGUUAAGAACACGCCCCGGCAGCCCCUUCCUCGUGGGACGCUGGACAAGACAGUUAGGCAGCCUUAGGGUGGGCUCGCCGCACCGAGCCUCGGGCGCGCUGGGCAGCCAGCGAGGGAACUUGGGGUGCGGGGCCCUGAGCGAGGGCUCCCUCCUUUUUCCCCUUAAAGCAGUAGUAGUGUUUUCCAACCAGCGUGCAAACCUCCCGGCACCGGCCCUGCCGGAUCACUGAAGACAGUUUGGCUGCCCUGAGGAAUCCGGUCCAUUCCGAGGCCUCUGCACCUCAAUGGUACCCCUGGUGUGGGCAGCCAGCGGAGGCUUGGGCCGCGCCCAGGGCGCGGAGGGCGGCGUCCCUGUCGCGCCGGCGGACUUUCGCCGCUGGGACCUGAACGGCGGGACCUGGUGACCUUCUUUGAGCUCCUUUGUCCUCCCUCGCGGGAACUGGGUCGGCGUCCCUUCCCUGGAAACCCUGCCCCCGCCUCGCGGCCCUUUGAAGGGCUGCUGUGCCGUGGCUGGCGACCUUCUUUCUCCACCGCAGAGGCUGCAGUUCUGCGCUCCUGAGCAAAUGUGUCCCAGAGGAGCCCCCAUGCCUUGGCUGGACGCCAAAGCACCAGCCCUCGCCCGGGAGAGGGCUCUUCUGACGGGGCCACGGCGUCGUCCCCAGAUGGAAAGAAUCCCAGGGCCCGUCCCCAUGAGCACAGCGCCUGCUCUUCCCGGAGGAGAAGGAAGAAAUGGUGAAGAGUGGGGGAAGCCAACGUUCAGUCAAUCUAGACCUGUCGUACACGCCACUGCCUUCAUCCUCGCCACAGCCCCUUUCCACAGCCCCUUGGUGGACGAGCGGAUGGGGAUUGGAGCUACCAAGAAAGUUGUCCAAGAUGGCAGAAUGGGUGGCAACCUCCCUCAGCUCUUUUUGCAAAGGAGGAAAUCAGGGGCGGUACCUGUGCCAGAAUCCUAGGCCAGCGCCGUCUGACUACAGAACCUGCGCCCACGGACCCCUGUCUGUUGGAGCAGACAUAGAGGCAGACAAAAACUGCCAGCUCAAGCCCGUGGCCAAGAGGUCUGCAAUCUCCCGGCUCUGGUGACAGACCCAUCAGAAUUUUGACCUUAAAAGAAAACUUUUGACUAAUUGUAUAUUCAGAAAAAACUCUAGCAUUUGCAUGUCUAAAAUAAGUAGGGAGAGGGAAGAAGAGAUGUGAUGUGGGGGCAUUUUUAGGACUUGGAGUUGUCCUGGGUAGUGCUACAGGGACAGAUGCUGGACAUUGUAUAUCCUGCCAUGGCCCACUGGGUGGACUGGGGGAGAGUGUAAACUACAAUGUAAACCACUAUCCAUGUGGUGCAGCAGUGCUCCAAAAAGGAAUUCACCAAAUGCAAUGAAUGUACCACAAUGAUGAAAGAGGUUGU
ensembl:lincRNA